UACAUGGGGUGCAAACGUUGCUCGGAAUCAUUGGGCGUAAAGCGCGCGUAGGCGGCUACACAAGUUGGAUGUGAAAGCCCUCGGCUUAACUGAGGAAGUGCAUCCAAAACUGUGCAGCUAGAGUACUAAAGAGGGUCGCGGAAUUCCCGGUGUAGAGGUGAAAUUCGUAGAUAUCGGGAGGAACACCGGUGGCGAAGGCGGCGACCUGGGUAGAUACUGACGCUGAGGCGCGAAAGCGUGGGGAGCAAACAGG
rnacentral:rRNA from 1 species